CUAUGCAUAAUGUAACUCCAGCCAAGAUGGUUACUGCUUACAGAUGCUGAGAUUCAGUUGACCGAGAGCCAGUGCCGAUGUGGCCCAUCCACUGUGGUCUCUCAGAAAUCAGCCUUUGCUCCUCAGUGUAAUCACUGAGACACAGCGAGGCACAUUCCCCAUAGGCUAUGGCAGAGCUGCCUCCCAAAACCAUCCCAACGCAAACCAACAGAGCAAGGCACACAUGCAGAACAGCAGUGCACAGGAACACGCACACAGGCACAUGCACACCCUGUGAAUUACGAGGCGUUAAACCCCUCACAGAACUCCACUGACUUCCUAAACCACAAAAAUGAUGAAAUUAUUUCCGCGUAAUGAGAAAUGUUUCCAUCUUUUAACUGUAUAUGUGGACCAGGAAACCUUGAUUUUUUCUCAUUUCCUCUUUGGAGGCUUCCAGAAGUUUCUCUCCUCUUCUCUCAUGCACAGAUUGUCUUACAUAGUUUCAUCUUUUUCUGGUACUUUCACAUGCACCAAGAUCCUCCUUUAUUGUCACCAGUACCCACAGAUGCAUCUACAUUUGCUCCUGAAAAUGUCUCUCCGGGAGGAGAAAGACUGCAGCAAAGAGAAUUUCAUUCCCUGAUAUUGCCCACGGUACUUCCUCAUCUUCUUGUAAUCCUCACGAAGAGGAACUGCACAUUAAAAUGAAAUUAAAACAGAGGAAAGAAACACUUCCCAUGCCUAAGCUUGUCUUCAUGUGGUUCCUUGCUCAGAGCCAACAGCUGAGAGCUGAGUUGCAGUAUUUAUUUCAGAAAGACAUCACUCUUGGGAACACAGGAUUUACCACAAUUAUUAGGAAUCUGUCCCAGUAUCUAAAUAUGCUUAUCAUUAAAAAAAAAAUACAUUUUAUUUCAUAUUCAGCUUUCUUUCCUCACUUUACCUUGCGACCACUGGACCUUGUCAUGCUUACGCCUUUGUAAUUAAAGAGGACGCUGUGGUUCAUGAUCAAGGUACCUCCUAAUCAACAGGCUGGAACAAUUUAACAUAUCCUAGAAAUGCAUAAAUUAGACAGAAAAAUCAAGCCACAGGGAAUUUGGAACUAUAUUGCUGAGAUAGCUUAACACUGGAACUCAAAUAUUCAAUGUAUAUAUAAAUAUGUAUAUAUUUUAAGUUUAGGCAAUUAAAAUACCAUGCAGACAGACACUGCAAAUUAAAUUUAACAGUACAGGCUUUUGUUUAGCUAUGGUAUGAUUCACUUUGUUAUGAACUUUUUGGUGGCGUCAUUUUGUUUUGUUUGGACAUUUGCUUAAACCUUAAAUACUUAAUUUCCAUCAGUGUUGUUGGAUGAACCAUAACCACACAGAGGCUGGGCUCUUCAUCAACAGCACGUGCCCACUCUGCACAGGACAAAGAAAAUCCUGCAGGAGGAAAAGCACAGUCUUGCAUUUCAACUGGUCGCUUCUUCAGGGUAGUAGUCAGUAAACUGAGCACAGAGACAUGAGUACUGUGAGUCACCUGCGCUGUCAUCACCACCAACCCCUAAGGAUCCAUGGCACCUUGGUAUGAAGCUCCUGGAAUGGCCAGCUGUUGGAUAGAAGACUACCAGAUAGAUGUUAUGAGGCACUGACCUACCAUGGCAGAAGUCUGUUCAUUAAUAUCCUGGACUGUCUCCUUCAGGCAGCUGAAACUUAUCCUGCUAAAAUUGGUGCAGCGGUCACUUCAAAGCCCUGAUCGGGACAGUCUGACCACUGGCAACCAAUGAUGUACAGGAGCGGAGGGAUCCCCUCCUUGUCCCAGUGUGCUUUGUGCUGGGGAUGCUGACUCACCGCAGGACAGAUGCUGAUACCCUUUGUCCAUGUUCUCUACCACCCUUGCAAAAUUAAGGAGGCAGUUUUCCUCGUUUAAAUGGAGGCAAUCUAGAAGAGAGAUGAAACUCUCACCGCUGCAGAAAUCCUCCCCCAACAGCUUUCUGAUGGCAAAGGUUGUUUGUAAGGGGCACCCACUGGUUGUCCCAAGGCCAUCUUCUCAAUGAUUGGUGAGUCUCAGUUUCCAGAAUCUCACUAAUAAUGAAAUCUUCUGCAUCAUUCCCAGAGAGAGUAGCAUCAACGUGCUGUUCUGCAGGAAUGAGACAUCCAGCUGACACAAACCAACAGGCAGGCAACAGCAUGAGCAUCCUGCCAGGAGAGGCUUAAUAAGACUUACAUUGCGAGAGCCAAGCCAGCAGGCUGAAAAAUCACUCCUUGUUUUGUCAGAUGCUUUGGCCCUGGAUUGGGCACCAGCAUGGUCCUUUUUAGCACUUGUCUAAAACAGGGUACCUGGCAGUGAGGUGCUCAAAGCAGUUCAGAAACUGGAGUUACAUGCUAGCAAGUCCGAUGGAUCUGAGUGGGACCCAGGCUGGAGAAGCAGUUUGUCAAACCCAUAGAGCAAAAACAUGUGGCUGCACCAGGAAUAGCCUUUCUUAGUGCAGCAGCACCUUUCCUAAGGACAUAAAGAUGCAUCUACAGAUUCCCUGAGUGGUCAGAGAUCUUAAAAUACCUCAUUGGUUAAACAAAAGGUUUUGAGGCUAUUGCUGUAAGUGUAAACAUGAUUGUAGCAGCACCUAUUGAUCCAACCACUUUCUGUAUUACCAAAGGUCAUUUGUUCCAGACACUGGUGACCAGGUCCAGACUGCCGUCUUCUACAGAGCCCAUGUGGGUAACUGCGACUGUGGCCACAGAAGGACAAAGGACUACAGAGACUGCAAAGUGAUGCAGAAUCUAUGUAUGCCCAACCUUGUACAUGAUGAAUGUGUUUUCAAAAGCCAGGCACAAAAGUACGAGCUCAAGAUGAAAUAACAGUCUUUCAGCCCAACAUGUUUGCGCAUAUGUUGACUUGCUGUGACUCUGGCAGUACAAUGUGGCAGCAUUUGUACUAAUGUGCAUUUAUGCCGAGUGAAGUUUUAUUUCUUCACACCCUUCAGAGCCAUUGCAGGCCUCCCAGAAGAGCUCUGAGCAUAUAAAACCACCAUCUCCAGAGCUCCCAGAGUGUGUGCUGAGGUCAGCGGUCUGCUAGAAAACCUCACUGCUCCAAACAAGAGCAUGGCAGCAGCGUGCCAAGAGAUUCUCCUCUUUC